rnacentral:tRNA from 1 species
GGGGUUGUAGUUCAGUGGUAGAGCACUUGCCUAGCAAGUAUGAGGCACUGAGUUCAAUCCUCAGCACCA